GGUGCUGAUGGUGUAGGGGUUAAGCACGCGACAAGGCUACAGUCCUCGAAGCGCCCGUCCCGGGUUCGAGUCCCUGACCCGGCAACA